rnacentral:misc_RNA from 1 species
GAUGAAGAACGUAGCGAAAUGCGAUAAGUAAUGUGAAUUGCAGAAUUCAGUGAAUCAUCGAAUCUUUGAACGCACAUUGCGCCCGCCAGUAUUCUGGCGGGCAUGCCUGUUCGAGCGUCAUUACAACCCUCAGGCCCCCGGGCCUGGCGUUGGGGAUCGGCGAGGCGCCCCCCACGGGCACGCGCCGUCCCCCAAAUACAGUGGCGGUCCCGCCGCAGCUUCCAUUGCGUAGUAGCUAACACCUCGCAACUGGAGAGCGGCGCGGCCAUGCCGUAAAACACCCAACUUCUGAAUGUUGACCUCGAAUCAGGUAGGAAUACCCGCUGAACUUAAGCAUAUCAAUAAGCGGAGGA